CAACAUUGUCCCAGUUUUCUAAAAGAGCAUGAAGAAUGACUCUGGAAACUACAGGCCUCUUACCCUGGAUACUCACUUCAGUGCCUGCAGCCCGAUUUUCCGUUCUGCAAGAUUCCUUUAUGUGUUUGGACAUCCCUUUGUCAAAAAAGAUUUACAUUUCCCAGAAUGCCUGUUCAGUAUGGAUUUCAACUAGUGGCCUGAAUGUAACCAAAGACGAGGAACAUACCUGGAAAAGUACAACUCUUUGCUCCUUUUCCAGAAGGUCAUUGUUGGGAUUGUGAGAGAGGAGAGUUCUCAAUACCUUUACUUGUUGUCCCAUCCCAUUUGUUG